rnacentral:lncRNA from 1 species
GAAGUAUUGCUGCCUUCCGAUGACAAAUCCCAUGCCUCCAUCCUGCGAAAGGGAAGCACCGUCUGUGUUCGAUCUGUAAGCUCUUAUCUCCAGUAACCAGUGAUUCCUGCAGGAACUUGAAACCAAUUCAAUGAAGAGAGAUCUCACUUGGAACUUUUCAUAGUUCUUAAUAAUCAAAAACUUUCUUCAUAUAUAGCUUCCCAGAUGGAGAACAUUUCAAGCCAAUGCCUCCUCAGUAAUUAACUGAGAUAUAUUGUAAUAAACAGGUAAGUCAGCCAUAAUGAAUGAGAAUAUCCUGUCAUGAGCACUUUCAAAUACCUUUUUUUUUCCAAAUAAGAAGAAACUUUUAUUAACUAAGAAGAGUCUCUGAAAUAUGACCUAUGCAGGUCAUCCUACAAAACAGAUGCUGGAACUCAAAAUCAAAUAGAUUUCAAGAGAAUAUUGAAGGUUUAGAGAUGCUUUAAGUAGGUGCUGGGAAGAAUAUAUUUGCUGGAAGGAAUAGAAAUGGAUGUGACUCCACACUGUCCUUGUAAGUGGUCUUUCAGUUUUUUCUUCUUGCAUCAAAGUGAUACACAAUUAUGAAGAAA